rnacentral:rRNA from 1 species
UCAGGAUGAACGCUAGCGGCAGGCUUAACACAUGCAAGUCGAGGGCAUCGCGGUGUAGCAAUACACUGGCGGCGACCGGCGAAAGGGUGAGUAACGCGUGAGCAACAUACCCGGCACUGGGGGAUAGUCAUUGGAAACGAUGCGUAAUACCCCGUAACACAUGGAGCGGCAUCGCUUCAUGUUAAGAGAUUUAUCGAUACCGGAUUGGCUCGCGUACCAUUAGCUAGUUGGCGGGUAACGGCCCACCAAGGCGACGAUGUUUAGGGGUUCUGAGAGGAUUCACCCCCACACUGGAACUGAGACACGGUCCAGACUCCUACGGAGGCAGCAGUAGGGAAUAUUGGGCAAUGGAGGCAACUCUGACCCAGCCAUGCCGCGUGCAGGAAGAAUGUUCCCUAUGGAUUGUAAACUGCUUUUGCAGGGGAAUAAAGUGCAUCACGUGUGAUGUUUUGUAUGUACUCUGCGAAUAAGGAUCGGCUAACUCCGUGCCAGCCGCAGC